rnacentral:snRNA from 9 species
UGACUGUAACAGGAGGGGAGACACAAUGAUCGGGAUGGAAGUUUUCUGUGGUUAAAGCUCAUCUUUUGCACUCCAGAUGUCCUGACCUCUGAUUUCCACAAAUGUGGGAAACUUAACUGCAUAACUUACAGUAGUGUGAAACUCUAUUCAUAUUUUACC